CUCCAUACACUCUAUUUAAGCCCUUGCAUGUCUGUUAGAAUGUUGAUGCAUUCUUGGCUUGUUUUGCGUUGCAUUACUCUGCCUUGGAUUCCAUGGGUGUUCAGGAAGCAGCUAUCAUUGAUGACAGAUCUUCAUGCAGAAAAAUAAACCUGUUGGGGUUGUGUGCUGCCAGACACAUGCUGCUUUUGCAAAAACCUCUUGCAAAACAACCAACAUACACAGUUGUAGGAUUUCCAUGAAACAUAAAAAAAGAGACUUAACAGAUUUUACAGAAAAUACCUUCAAGAGUUCCUAUAAUGCACCCUUUAGGGGGUGUGCUUACAGAUGCCAUUGGUUUACACACAGCAAAGCUCACUAUUUCAUGAAUCGGUCUAUAUGCAGCUAUUAGAAAAGUCAUGUUCUACACUUUUAAAGGUAUACUAUCGGCAUUAAAACAACUUUAGCUUAAUGAAGCAGUUUUUGUGUAUAGUCCAUGCCCCUGCAACCUCACUGCUCAAUUCUCUGUCAUUUAUUAGUUAACCCCUUCAGGACGGAGUCAAUAGUACAAAACAAAAUGUAAAAAAAAACUGGAAUUUGAGCUGUAUGUCUGUUCAACCGUAAUCCAUCUCUUUCAUAUUAAGUGCACCCACACUUAUUAUAAUUUUGUUCAGGUGAAACUGGACUUUAAUUUCUCAUGAUCUAUUCAUAAUUGAAACAUAAUUUUUUAUGAAUAAAAUAAAAAACUGUGAAAAAUUAAGAUAUGAAAAACAUUUGUAGACAUUUUAGCUGUAAAUGUCAUAAUACUGUUAGCUUUAACUGCAAAAAAAACACAUAUUUGGAUUCCGCAAAAUCUCACGAGUACAACAGCAGCCCCAUUAACAGUUUUUAUGGUGUUUUGGAAAGUUACAGGGUCAGAUAUAGCACAUUCCAUUUUUCAGAUUUUCAAAUUGAAAUUUGCCAGAUUAGUAAUGUUAUCUUUGAGACCGUGUGGUAGCCCAGGAAUGAG